GACGAACGCUGGCGGCGUGCUUAACACAUGCAAGUCGAACGGAAAGGCCCUGCUUUUGUGGGGUGCUCGAGUGGCGAACGGGUGAGUAACACGUGAGUAACCUGCCCUUGACUUUGGGAUAACUUCAGGAAACUGGGGCUAAUACCGGCUAGGAGCUCCUGCUGCUUGGUGGGGGUUGGAACGUUUCGGCGGUUGGGGAUGGACUCGCGGCUUAUCAGCUUGUUGGUGGGGUAGUGGCUUACCAAGGCUUUGACGGGUAGCCGGCCUGGGAGGGUGACCGGCCACAUUGGGACUGAGAUACGGACCAGACUCCUACGGGAGGCAGCAGUGGGGAGUAUUGCACAAUGGGCCGACGCCUGAUGCAGCAACGCCGCGUGCGGGAUGACGGCCUUCGGGUUGUAAACCGCUUUCGCCUGUGACGAAGCGUGAGUGACGGUAAUGGGUAAAGAAGCACCGGCUAACUACGUG
rnacentral:rRNA from 1 species